AAACUCGCCUGCAUGAAGCUGGAAUUGCUAGUAAUGGCAGGUCAGCAUACUGCCGUGAAUACGUUCCCGGGCCUUGUACACACCGCCCGUCACACCAUGAGAGUUGGGAAUACCCGAAGCCUGUGAGCUAACUUAUAGAGGCAGCAGUCGAAGGUAGAAUCAAUGAUUGGGGUGAAGUCGUAACAAGGUACC
rnacentral:rRNA from 1 species